GACGAACGCUGGCGGCGUGCUUAACACAUGCAAGUCGAACGGAAAGGCCCUGCUUUUGUGGGGUGCUCGAGUGGCGAACGGGUGAGUAACACGUGAGUAACCUGCUCUUGACUUUGGGAUAACUUCAGGAAACUGGGGCUAAUACCGGAUAGGAGCUCCUGCUGCAUGGUGGGGGUUGGAAAGUCUCGGCGGUAGGGGAUGGACGCGCGGCUGAUCAGCUUGUUGGUGGGGUAGUGGCUUACCAAGGCUUUGACGGGUCGCCGGCCUGAGAGGGUGACCGGCCACAUUGGGACUGAGAUACGGCCCAGACGCGUACGGUAGGCAGCAGUGGGGAAUAUGGCACAAUGGGCGGAAGCCUGAUGCAGAAACGCCGCGGUCGUGAUGACGGCCUUCGGGUUGUAAACCGCUUUCGCCUGUGACGAAGCGGGAGUGACGGUAAUGGGUAAAGAAGCACCGGCUAACUACGUG
rnacentral:rRNA from 1 species